AUUGAACGCUGGCGGCAGGCCUAACACAUGCAAGUCGAACGAGUGGCGGACGGGUGAGUAAUGUCUGGGAAACUGCCUGAUGGAGGGGGAUAAAUACUGGAAACAGUACCUAAUACCGCAUACACUCGGAUGUGCCCAGAUGGGCUUAGCGAGUAGGUGGGGUAAAGGCUCACCUAGGCGACGAUCCCUCGCUGGUCUGAGAGGAUGACCAGCAACACUGGAACUGAGACACGGUCCAGACUCCGACGGGAGGCAGCAGUGGGGAAUAUUGGACAAUGGGCGCAAGCCUGAUGCAGCCAUGCCGCGUGUGUGAAGAAGGCCUUCGGGUUGUAAAGCACUUUCAGCGAGGAGGCGUUACUCGCAGAAGAAGCACCGGCUAACUCCGUGCCAGCCGCCGCGGUAAUUC
rnacentral:rRNA from 1 species